AAUAAGCUAGCUCGCCAAACUUGUCAUGACUCAUGUAGCCUAAUGAAGCCUAAUUAAAAAAAAUAUGAAUGUGUAAUUACACAACGCUACAUUUAUAUGGUAUUUCCAGAUCGCUAUUUCAAAAUUAUGCUUUCAAUUUUGUGUUAAGCGAUCCGAUGGCUUACCAGAUGUGUUACCAGUAGCAUACUUGUGCCAAAAUGAAGUUGUUUUGCUAACGAACUAAAAUACAUGCUGGUAUUUAUGGUUACAGAUCAACGCUGAGACCGAGGUUUGAUCUGAGCACGUUGAGAAGCAAUGCUUUGUUAAGGUCACCCGUGGUAUGACAACGCUGUGAUGCUGUGCCUGCCAACUUUGUUCGCCUGGACUUCAGAGAAGCCAAAGAGGAGAAUCAUCAUUCGCAUACCGUGUAUGGAUUCCAUGGAGUAUUCCAUCGAGUAUUUCUUCUGUUUCAAUCGUCUUGGUGAAGUUUUUGAGCUGGAUCUGGAUUCUGCUGAGGAUUCGUCGACUACUAGAUGGCGAGCCACCCACUCAUUCGAAUGUGAUCCUGUUCUACAUUGCGCAUGGCAUAUUUGGUAGGAUUGUGGCCUGCUCGUGUCACAUCACUGACUAUGACUGACUUCAACGCCUUGAACUGAACUGCUUGAAAGGAGCUAUUUUUCUUUUUGAACAACUUAAAGGAACUCUCU